AUUGAACGCUGGCGGCAGGCUUAACACAUGCAAGUCGAGCGGUAACAGAGAGAAGCUUGCUUCUCUGCUGACGAGCGGCGGACGGGUGAGUAAUGCCUAGGAAUCUGCCUAGUAGUGGGGGAUAACUUGCCGAAAGGUAAGCUAAUACCGCAUACGUCCUACGGGAGAAAGGAGGGGACCUUCGGGCCCUUCGCGAUUAGAUGAGCCAAGGUCGGAUUAGUUAGUUGGUGAGGUAAUGGCUCACCAAGACCGCGAUCCGUAACUGGUCUGAGAGGAUGAUCAGUCACACUGGAACUGAGACACGGUCCAGACUCCUACGGGAGGCAGCAGUGGGGAAUAUUGGACAAUGGGGGGAACCCUGAUCCAGCCAUGCCGCGUGUGUGAAGAAGGUCUUAGGAUUGUAAAGCACUUUAAGUUGGGAGGAAGAGCAGUUAACUAAUAUUUGACUGUUUUGACGUUACCGACAGAAUAAGCACCGGCUAACUUCGUGCCAGCCGCCGCAGUAA
rnacentral:rRNA from 1 species